rnacentral:rRNA from 1 species
GACGAACGCUGGCGGCGUGCUUAACACAUGCAAGUCGAACGGAAAGGCCCCUUUGGGGGUACUCGAGUGUCGAACGGGUGAGUAACACGUGAGUAACCUGCCCUUGACUUCGGGAUAACUUCAGGAAACUGGGGCUAAUACCGGAUAGGAAUCCUUGCUUCAUGGUGGUGGUUGGAAAGUUUCGGACGUUCUGGAUGGACUCGCGGCUUAUCAGCUUGUUGGUGGGGUAGUGGAUUACCAAGGCUUUGACGGGUAGCCGGCCUGAGAGGGCGACCGGCCACAUUGGGACUGAGAUACGGCACAGACUCCUACGGGAGGCAGAAGUGGGGAAGAUUGACCAAUGGGCGGAGGCCUGAUGCAGCAACGCCGCGUGCGGGAUGACGGCCUUCGGGUUGUAAAACGCUUUCAGCAGGGGCUGAGCUUGUGGUGACGGUACCUGCAGAAGAAGCACCGGCUAACUACGUG